UUCUUAUAUUCCACAUAUGAGUGAGAUCAUAUGGUAUUUGUCUUUCUCUAACUUACUUUGCUUAGCUUACUACUCUCCAGUUAGAUCCAUGUCUCUGCAAAUGGCAAGAUUUCAUUCUUUUUUAUGGCUGAAUAAUAUUCUGUUAUAUAUAAAUACCACAUCUUCUUUAUCCAUUCAUCAAUCGACACUUAGGCUGCUUCCAUAUCUAGGUUAUUGUAAAUAAUGCUUCUACAAACAUAGAAGUACUUAUAUUCCUUUGAAUCAGUGUUUUUGUGUUCUUUGGGUAAAUACCUAGUAAUGUGAUUGCUGUAUCAUAGGGGAGUUCUAUUUUUAAUUUUUCGAGGAACCACCAUACCGUUUUCCAUAGUGGCUGCACCAGUUUGCCUUCCCACCAACAGAGCAUGAGGAUUCCUUUUUCUUCAUAUCCUCACCUGUUGUUUCUUGUAUUGUUGAUUUUAGCCAUUCUGACAGGUGCAAGGUGAUAGCUCAUUGUAGUUUUGAUUUGCAUUUCCCUGAUGAUAAGUGAUUAUGAGCAUCUUUUCAUGUGUCUGUUGGCCAUCUGAAUGUCUUCUUUGAAGAAAUGUCUGCUCAUGUCUUCUGCCCAUUUUUAAUGUGAUUAUUUGUUUUUGAGUGUUAAAUUGUAAAAGUUCUUUAUAUAUUUUAGGUACUAACCCUUUUACUGGAUAUGUCAUUUGCAAAUAUCUUCUUUUAUUCCAUAAGGUUGCCUUUUGGUUUUGCUGAUUGUUUCCUUGCUGUGCAGAAGCUUUUUAUUUUGAUGUACUCCCAAUAGUUUAUUUUUCUUUUUGUUUUCCUUGCCUUGGGGGACCCACCUAGAAAAAAAGUUGCUAUGGCUGAUGCCAGAGAAGUUAUUACUUGUGCUCUCUUGUUGGAUUUUUAUGGCUUCAGGUCUCACAUUUGGGUCUUUCACCAAUUUUGAAUUUAUUUUUGUGUAUGUUGUAAGAAAAUAGUCCAGUUUUGUUCUUUUGCAUGUUGCUGUCCAGCUUUCCCAAUGCCAUUUGUUGAAGAGACAUUCUUUUUCCCAUUGGAUCUUCUUUCCCGCUUUGUUAAAGAUUAAUUGACCAUAUAGUUAUGGUUCAUUUCUGGCUUCCUAUUCUGUUCUAUUGAUCUAUGUGUCUAUUUUUGUGCCAGUACCUACUCUUUUGAUUACUAUAGCUUCGUAAUACAACUUAAAGUCUGGAAUUGUGAUGACUCUACCUUUGCUUUUCUUUUUCAAGAUAGCUCUGGCUAUUUGGGAUCUCUUAUGGUUCCAUAGAAAUUUUAGGAUUGUCUUUUCUAGUUCUAUGAAAAAUGGUGUUGGUAUUUUGAUGGGGAUUACAUUAAAUGUGUAGAUUGCUUUGGAUAGUAUAGACUUUUUUUAAGUUUUAUUUAUUUAAGUAUUGAGGGCUCAAAAUCAUGACCCUGAGAUCAAGAGUCGCAUGCUCCUCCAACUGAGCCAGCCAGGUGCUUCUGGGUAGUAUAGACAUUUUAACAAUAUUUGUUCUUCCAAUCCAUGGGCAUAGAAUAUCUUUCCAUUUCUUUGUGUCAUCUUCAAUUUCUCUCAUCAGUGUUUUAUAGUUUUCAGAGUAUAGGUCUUUCACCUCUUUGUUAGGUUUAUUCCUAGGUGUUUUACUAUUUUGGGUCCAAGAAAAUGUUUAUUUUUUUUUUAAAAAAAGAUUUUAUUUGUUUAUGAGAGACAGAGAGAGAGAGGCAGAGACUAGGCAGAGGGAGAAGCAGACUCCUCGCGGGGAACCUGACGCAGGACUCGAUCCCUGGUGGGGAUCAGGCCCUGAGUGAGCCGAAGGCAGAUGCUCAACUGCUGAGCUACCCAAGCAUCCCAAAAAAAUGUUUUUCUUUUUUUUUUAAGAUUUUAUUUACUCAUUUAUGAGACCGAGAGAGAGAGAGAGAGAGAGAGGCAGAGACACAGGCAGAGGGAGAAGCAGGCUCCAUACAAGGAGCCCGACAUGGGACUCAAUCCCGGGUCUCCAGGAUCACAGCCUGAGCCAAAGACAGACACUCAACCGCUCAGCCACCCAGGCAUCCCUUAAAAAAUACUUUUCAAACUAAACUGUAAAAUGUUCUCUUAAAUAGACGUUCCAGAACUUUCCCCCUCUAACCAACUUUAUAAAUGUUUUCUUCUCCAUCAUUCCUUAAAUGCAUCCUAAGUACGCUACUAUCUUUAAAACAUGGUUCUUUCCCUGGCCAUCAGAAAGCAGCUAUCAAGUCUCUUGUUCGAUCCACAGUCUCUCAUUAAUAUAACUCCCGAAAUAUGAUUUCACCUUUCCUUUGAUAUUUCAGCUGGCAUUCAAUCCAUAAUGUCAUUUCUCCAUGACUCCUGGUCUUUCUCCUUCUUACCUGUGGAUAAUGGUUCAGUUCAUAUCUGUGCUCUGAAUCAUUCUUUCCUGAAUUGUCACUUUCAUCUAUCCUUCUUGUAAUUCCAUGGCAUUAAUUUCCACCUUGCUUCCCUCCGAGAUCACAAAUCAUGUUAGGCUCGAGUUCUCAAAGCCUUGAAAAUUUUUGGUUCUUGAUAUAGACCAGGUAACCCUUCGCCUGGCAUUUGGGAGAAAGGUACUUUAUUAGACCAAAAAAAAUGGGGAGGGGAUGUUUGUUCCCUAAGACAUCUUUUUUAAAGAUGGUCCUCUAUUAUGACUAGAUGCUAGGGAUCUUUUAUGGCUACACACUUGGGUCAACCUGAGGCAGUCCCAUCCCUGUACUAAAUCUGCAAGAAUACCAGUAUAAGCUACACAGAUAAGAAUAAUUCCAAAUAUUUACAUUCUUAGGAAGUAAACCCAAAUUUCCUAUAACAAGACCUGGCUUAGUCACUCUUUCUUCUAAAUUGCUGGAAAGUAGUUUUCCCGGUCCCAGGAGAUGAAGAAGUUAUAACUAAUAUUAUCACCAUUACAGGUCAAUGCUCCAUGACACAUCUAGGUAACAACUUAGACAAAGCAAAGUCAAAGGGCUUUCAUGGCCCACAAAAAGGAUAUCUUCUUAAUGGUGACUAUCAUGAACGUGCCAAAUGACUUCCAUUCAACAACCAGGUAGAGCCAGGUAGAAUCAAAAACCUGGCAGAAAAAAAAAAAAAAAAAAAAAACCUGGCAGAGUUUUCAAGUGUGACAGGACACUCACAACCAUCUCUUCAUAUGACCCUGAAGAUCUAGCUCUAUCUACUAGAGAGAUCUCAGGUCAAAGUUACAUUUGAAGACAAGUUUCAUUCUUUCAGUUUGCCAGCUUUGCCUUUUUCUAUUAUCAGAUUCAAAUUUUCUGUUCUCAUGCUCAAUCCUGUUUCUAUAAUCAUUUUUUUGCAAUGAAUAUAACUGUAUUGCUCUAUUAUUUAUCACCAAACCUUGGUAAUAAUUCUUUCCCAAGAUGACUAACACUUGUUAUAAAGUAACACCUACAUCAGCUUCUUCAAUGAUUUAAUCUCAAUAAUAUUCUGUUUUCCUCCCCUUCUGUGCACAUGGAAGAGUCUACUUCUCAAACACUCUGUAUUUGGACACACUACUGGACUAGUUCUGAGCAAUGAAUUUUAAGUAGAAAUGAUAUGUGUCACUUCAAGUUUGAGGUGAUGAAAGGCCUUGUGUGAAGUUCCUGUUUCUUUCUUCUGCCACGUAAUCCAGAUGCUGAAGCUACAAGAUGGAGAAGCAUCCAUCAGCCUAGAUCCCUGAGUGACUUUGUGUGACAGAACCUCUCCCACAAACCCCCUCUGGACAUGUAGUAUGAGCAAGAAAUAAAUCUUUAUUGUAUUAAGCCCCCCAAAUUUGGAAGCCAUCCCCAAUGAGUGACUUUGUGUGUCCUAACAGACAAGUAUAAAACAACAUCUGUGUGUAUGUGUGUGUGACCCAUGUGUGUUAGGAUUUUGCCAAGUUCUGAUUAGUUGAAUUCUGAUUAGUUCCAUUCCAAUCAGCAUAAAAUCAGCCAACGAUUCUAAUUUAUAAGAGGGUAAGUUGUAACCAUAAUGACCUUAUGAUGGAGUAAUAUUGAGAGCAUUUAUAACUUAUGUAGCAUAUAAUAGCUCUUAUUUGUUCUAGAUAAAUCAAUGACAGUAUCCACUUCAACUGAUUCUGUAGAUGAAAUACCCCCAAUACCUAUUUCUCUCUUAAAAUAUGCUGAAGGUAAAAGCAUACUUAUGCCUGCAUUUAUAUUGAAUAGUUUAUGCAAACUACUCUUGUCUAGAUGAAUCAAGAACAUGCUAGCAAUUUCCUAAGUGAGUUUGGGAAGUGUCGGAGUAGUUAAUGGUAUCUCCAAACUGAUGUAUGGAUUACCCUCAUAGUAUAUGGAUGGUUUUAAUUGAAUCAGUUUCCAGAUCCCCAACUUUCAUAUAUAUUCAAUCUUAACACUGGUUGGAGGACAACAUGGGGCAGAGGCUUGAGGCUGCCUGACACUCUCCCUUUCUUUUUUUAAAAUUUUUUUUUUUUAUGAUAGUCACAC
rnacentral:lncRNA from 1 species